GGAAGCACAAUUAUAUUCCCUAUUACUUAUCGAAAGGAACAUUCGAUACAUCCAUUAUUUCAUAUAUGUAUCGAUUUAUAUUUAUAUAUAUGUUCACUUAUGCAUCUGUUUUUUCUAUAAUGCCUUACUUACGAUGUAUAUAUUAGAGGCAAACUACGAGCGCAUAUAUUUAUAUUUUUAUCUAUUAUUUCGUGAAUUAUCUGCGCUGUCUUAUUAAUUAAGAAGGAAGUAAAUAGAUGAUACAUCAUUUGUAAUCAAAUUAUUGAUAAACAUUUACUUCUUCGGAAUAUGAGGACAAAAUUGGCGAAAAAAAAGAAAAUAAUUAAAAGUUAAUCGAAAACUUGGAAUAAUUUAUUUUUAAUCGAGGCAACAUCGUGUCCAGACCAAACUUUAAGAAAGAAAAGAUAAUUAACAAUUAAACCGUAGUACCUGAACAUUGGCUGCAUAUUUGGAUUCGAUAAUGGGUUUCGCUAAUAUUAUUCAUUAUUUUCUUGGAUCAAUAUUUAUUAAUGUCAAUAUGAAAAUCAUUCCAUUGUAAUAGUUCCAAUAGAACUAUUCGGAAGGAGUAAAUUAAAAAUAUUUGAAUGUUCAUAUAUGUGAUAUAUACUAUUGAUAUUAUCGUUAUUGACAUCAGUAUUCAUAUAAUGGAGCUUCUCGGAAAAAUUAGUAAGACAGAUCUAUCGAAAUAAUUAUAUCGAUCUUCGUUUAUAUCAGUAUAUGUGUACGUACUUAUUUCUAAUUUUUGUUCGUAGAUGAUUGUGAUAAUUGUUCCUUUUCACGUAGUAAUUGUUUCACACGAUCGAAUCGACGGAGGAAAUAUAGAAAUUUGUAUAAAGAGAAAUAGAAGGAAAAAGGUUUUUGAUGCGGUGUUACCACAGAUUGUUGAAAGUUGAUAUUCCAUAUGCAAGUCGAAAAGAGUCAAUUGCAGAACAGAAGGAAAUUAUUAGAGAAAAAUAAUAAUGGCUGCUAUAUACAUCCAUUCCUGGCAAACUACUGCGGCAGCGAAAGAACUUCGAUGUUUAUUCGUCGGAGUACAAAGAACUGAUCUGGUAACUCCAAAUCUAAAAGUCCAAGUCAUUCAUUUGUUGAUUUUACACGCUACCAACAACUGCCAUUUUUAAAUUUAAGUCUAAUAGAAAAUAAAUUAAAAUUGUUUGAUAUACCGUCUGUGUUCCAUAGCAUGUAAUGUUUAGCGAAAUCUACUAUUGCUUAAACAGUGAAUAGUUUAACUCGUCGUUCAUUUAUAUCGUUUAAAUGAGUUUAAAAUUAGCAAAAGUAUUAAGUUUGAAGUUUUCACCUUUAUAAAGUGAGGCGAAGCGUCAGUCAUUCCAAUGUUCGUUUUUAUUGACAUCACACGCAGCUACGAAACUCAGAUGCAAGUAUUCCAAUAUGAAAAUCAUAAAUUAUUUAAAUUUUAGCUUAAAGUUAUUUUAUGUUAUUCGCGCGUUACGAUCUUCGUAAUAUUUAAGCGAAUAUACUAUCGUUUAAAUAUUACGGUUAUGAAAGUAAUUCAAAGGGUUAAAAAGUGCAAAGGGUUAAAAAGAAAAAUAAUU